CGGAGGAUACGAGCGUUAUCCGGAUUUAUUGGGUUUAAAGGGUGCGCAGGUGGUCUUGCAAGUCAGUGGUGAAAGCUGAGGCUCAACCUCAGCCUUGCCGUUGAAACUGUAAGACUUGAGAGUACAUGAUGUGGGCGGAAUGCGUAGUGUAGCGGUGAAAUGCAUAGAUAUUACGCAGAACUCCGAUUGCGAAGGCAGCUCACAAAGGUAUGUCUGACACUGAGGCACGAAAGCGUGGGGAGCGAAACAGGAUU
rnacentral:rRNA from 1 species